GGAGUCGGCCAGACAGCCGCUGCGGCCGCGUGCCGUGGAGGAAAGUCCGGGCUCCACAGGGCAGGGCGCCAGGUAAUGCCUGGGCGGCGCGAGCCGACGGAAAGUGCCACAGAGAGCAGACCGCCGAUGGCCCGCAAGGGCACAGGUAAGGGUGAAAGGGUGCGGUAAGAGCGCACCGCGCGGGUGGUAACACGCCGCGGCACGGUAAACCCCGCCCGGAGCAAGGCCAAAUAGGGGUGCACAGGUGUGGCCCGCACUGCACCCGGGUAGGCCGCUUGAGGCGCGCGGUGACGCGCGUCCCAGAGGAAUGGCUGUCCACGACAGAACCCGGCUUAUCGGCCGGCUCCAACC
rnacentral:RNase_P_RNA from 1 species